GCUGGGCAUGGUCACGGGUGCCUGUAGACCCAGCUACAUGGGAGGCUGAGGCAGGAGAAUGGCAUGAACCCAGGAGGUGGAGUUUGCAAUGAGCCAAGAUCACGCCACUGCACUCCAGCCUGGGUNNNNNNNNNNACCCAGGCUGGAGUGCAGUGGCGUGAUCUUGGCUCAUUGCAAACUCCACCUCCUGGGUUCAUGCCAUUCUCCUGCCUCAG
rnacentral:SRP_RNA from 1 species